CUGAGUGACGUUGCUUCCCGUAGGAGGAAAUCAGAGAGGAAGGAAAGUCCCCAUCUCCAAAUGCAAACACAUGUGCUGAAUUUGUAUAGAACCAUCUGGGAUUGCACCAUUUCUGGGAAUCCACACCAAGAACAGCCUUAAGAAUCUGGAGCUCGAAGCCAUCCAUCCAGGGAUGGGACACUGCUGACAUCUGACUGCCAGCAUUCAGGACCUCAGAGACUAAAGCUCCCUACUUCAUCCACUGCUUGGAUUAAGUGCUUCCCUGAAGGACUCUGGUAAAAUCGACUACAGGUGCUGAGCAGAGACUGACCCUACUUCCAAUUGGGAUGCCCCUUGUCCAUUCCCCCUGAAGCCUACUGUCUCUGGAGUUUUGGGUAGCUUCUGUAGCUCCACCUCUUUGCCCAGUUCCUCCUUGGAAACUACCGAACACCGGUGGUGGUCAUCAGGUGAGUAAUUGGCACGUUCUGUAAAGAGCUUUGCCCCCGUGGCAAGGAUUGUCUUGAGGAGCUAGUGGCUCACUUGUUCUAGUGGCUUUCAUCCGUGUGUCUAGUCAUGCUGACAGAAUCAUCAGUUUCCUCCGUG